rnacentral:rRNA from 1 species
CAGAGGGUGCAAACGUUGCUCGGAAUUACUGGGCGUAAAGCGCGUGUAGGCUGACAUGCAAGUCGGAUGUGAAUCCCAGGGCUCAACCUUGGAACUGCAUUCGAAACUGCACGUCUUGAGUACUGGAGAGGGAAGCGGAAUUCCGGGUGUAGAGGUGAAAUUCGUAGAUAUCCGGAGGAACACCAGUGGCGAAGGCGGCUUCCUGGACAGUAACUGACGCUGAGACGCGAAAGCGUGGGAGCAAACAGGAUU